GUGCUCACUUCCACAACACAUAUACUAAAAUUGGAACGAUACAGAGAAGAUUAGCAUGGCCCCUGUGCAAGGAUGACACGCAAAUUCAUGAAGCGUUCCAUUUUUUU
rnacentral:snRNA from 1 species